AAAAAUCUUGACAGAGGAGCUAUCAUGAGCAAGAAGGUUGUUUUCCCAGUCAAGGCUUAUCAAUUGCACUCCAGAUGUGCUGACCCCUGCAAUUUCCCCAUAUGUGGGAAACUAGACUGCAUAAUUUGUGGCAGUGGGGGUCUGUGAUCCCACUUUCCCCUG
ensembl:snRNA U1 U1 spliceosomal RNA